rnacentral:pre_miRNA from 1 species
CAUAUACUCCCUCCGUUCGAAAUUACUUGUCUUAAAAAUGGAUGUAUCUAAAACUAAAAUACAUCUAGAUACAUCCAUUUCCGCGACAAGUAAUUCCGAACAGAGGGAGUAGUUA